UACAGAGGUCCCAAGCGUUGUUCGGAUUCAUUGGGCGUAAAGGGUGCGUAGGUGGCGUCGUAAGUCGGGUGUGAAAUUUCGGAGCUCAACUCCGAAACUGCAUUCGAUACUGCGGUGCUUGAGGACUGGAGAGGAGACUGGAAUUUACGGUGUAGCAGUGAAAUGCGUAGAGAUCGUAAGGAAGACCAGUGGCGAAGGCGGGUCUCUGGACAGUUCCUGACACUGAGGCACGAAAGCGUGGGGAUCAAACAGG
rnacentral:rRNA from 1 species